rnacentral:lncRNA from 1 species
AGCAAUUGACAAGUUGAUACUAAAAUUCACAUGCUAAUGCAAGGGACUCCGGCCAAAACAAUCUUGGAAAAGAAAACAAAGUUGGAGGACUCAGGCUUCCUGACUUCCCAAAGCACCGUAAGCCUAAAGCAGUGGAGACAGCUGGGAACUAGCGUAAGGGUAAAGAGCAAUGCACCGGCCGAGCGCAGAAAUGAACCCACACCUCAAACAUCAACUGAUUUCUCCAAAGGGUGCCAAGAGUAUCCAAGGCGGAGAGGACAGUCUUUGGGGCUGGGACAAGGAGAUAUUUACAUAAUCCUGCUUCACAUCUGUCCCCACCACCGCAAAAACAAACUCAAAAUGGAUCAAGGACUUCAAUGUAAGGGCUGAAACUAUAAAACGCUGAGAAGAAUACACAGGUGUAUAUCUUUGCGACUUUGUAUUAGGCCACAGUUUCUUAGGUAUGACCACAAAAGCACAAGCAACAAAAGGAAAAAGAGAUACUUUGGACUUCAUCAAAUUCAAAACAUCUGUGCUUUGCAGGACACCACUGGGUGGGUGAAAAUGGGAGGAAAUAUCUGCAAAGCAUGCUUUUGUUAAAGGUCUAGUUUCUAGAAUAUAUAAAGAACUCUGGAGUUCCCGUCGUGGCGCAGUGGUUAACGAAUCCGACCAGGAACCAUGAGGUUGCGGGUUCAGUUCCUGCCCUUGCUCAGUGGGUUAAGAAUCCGGCGUUGCCGUGAGCUGUGGUGUAGGUCGCAGACGUGGCUCGGAUCCCGAGUUGCUGUGGCUGUGGCGUAGCCUGGCGGCUCCAGCUCCAAUUGGACCCCUAGCCUGGGAACCUCCAUAUGCCGCGGGAAGCCCUAAAAAAACAAAAACAAAAACAAAGAAUGUUCUGGCAUUCCCCCCGUGGCACAGUGAGUUAAGGAUCCAGAGAUGCUGCAGCCAUGGCGUAGGUGGCAGCUGCAGCCCAGAUUUGAGCCCUAGCCUGGAAACUUUCAUAUGCUGCACAUACGGCAGAAAAGGAAAAGAGAAAAAAAGAAUAUUCACAGCAGCAUAAUUCAUAAUAGUCAAAAUGUGGAAACAACCCAGAUGUCUAUCAACUGAUGAAUGGGUAAACAAAAUAUUAUAUAUACCUACAAUGGAAUAGUACUCAGCCAGGAAAAAGAAUGAAGUACAGAUUCAUACCACAACUUAGAUGAGCCUUGAAAACAUCAGGCUAAGUGAAAGAAGCCAGACACACAAGCCCACAUCCUGUAUAAUUUCAUUACAUGAAAUGUCCGGAAUAAGCAGAUUUAGAGGCAGAAAGUAGCGGUUGUCAGGGACUGAGGGAGAAGGGGAUGGGGAGCGGCUGCAAAUGGGUGUGGGGUUUUUAGAGCGAUGAAAAAGUUCUGGAAUUGGAUACAGAUGACAGCUGAACAAUGUUUGUGAGUAUACUUAAAAAAAUCAUGAAUUAGCAAAAGGGGAGAUUUUAGCAUGUGAAUUGUAUCUCAACUUAGAAGAAAAUCAACAACAAAAGUAAGGGCCUCGGGACGCCACAGAAAGGUUGUUGUUUUAUAACGCCAUUUGACUAAUUGCGAAUCUGCACUUUUCAGGACUACAAGCUAGCCAUUCUUUGCCGAUUUUUAUUCCCACCAUUUAUUCCAGAAUCCUUUCAAACAGAAUAUAGGUGUUACAAAGAACCAUGAGAUGUUUCAGGCUAGAGGUUAGUCAGAGAUCAACUGGUGCCAACACCUCAUUUAGAGACCAGACAUCCAGGGCAGUGGCUUGCAAGAUGCCGCAGCAAGGUGGAGACCAUAUCAGAACCAGAACCCGCUCCUCCACGCCUCGCUGGCGCUCUCACUCCACCACAUGAACACGACCCAAUCCGCAGGGCUUCGUAACCGCACAUCUCCCCGUGAUGAAAUACUGGCUCCCCCGAAGCCUGGGGGACAGCUACUGGAACCCCGAUUUCGGAAAAUCAGCUAUCACUUCAAGUUCAACAGUCCAAGGGACGUAACGUAACGAUCACAAGACCCUGUGGUCACUAACACAACCUUCUUUUCCCCAGAGAAGCAAAGCACAGCAGAGACCAAGGCGGGAGCAAAGACUGGAAAGACAGCCCCGAGGUGAGACGGAGCCAACCACAGAGCCCCACGUGCCCCGAACCGAAAGCAGCGAUGCAUCCAAUGAAACGCCAGCUCAGGGGCCAACCCCCAUAAGGGCUCCAGGGACAUCUGCAGGGAGGGGACCUUUAAAGCGGGAAGGGAGAGGUUUAUUUCACCUCUACCCUCUAGAAAAGGAUGCCCACGAGUAACCAGCAGAACGCGGAGGAGCCGGUCGGGAGAAGUAACGCGUGUCAGAGGCGGCGAACGCUGCUGCAGACUCGGACCGAGGAGAAACCGCUCAGCCACCCUCCACUGGACCACGGAGGCCACCGAGGGGCGACCAGGGAAAUCAGCCGCCCGGGGUGCAACCCCUGGCUGGGGACAGGCCAGGGCCGUCAGAGGAAUAACGCCCGUACGAGGACUGAACGCUCUCCUUCGUCUCGGGAUCUCCCCGAAGCCCCUCGAUGGCAGCACGGCGCUGACGCCUCUGCCCAUCAGGACUCACCCUUCGACGGUCGCCUCUCCAAACCCAGACCUGCAGGCAGCCAGGGAGCACUGCACGGGCCUGAUCACUGCCUACGUGGCUCUGGAGUCCGUCACGAGCAGCUGUGACAGCGUCCUCAGGCCCCGGCGCUGACAGGGGGUGGGGGGUAGCUGUGUCCUUUUAACUCACUCCAAGGCAGUUAAGGCCUCUUAAUAAGCAUCUCCCCAGGGGUGAGUCUGAUGCCCCGUCUGGGUGACCUCACAUCCUCUGUCACUGACAACGCGGACCGGCCUGUGGAAGAUCGACAACCUGCACUAAGGACGCCCAGAGAAGCACCUGCAGCGGAUCUUGGGCACCACAGAGACCCCCGCAGGAGGCCUUGAGCGAGGGGGAGGGCGAGGCAGGAGCCACGCCCAUCUCAGGCUGCUCUAACCCCGCCAGUCGUGGGACGGGUGGCUGCCUGCGGGCCUGUAACCUGUCUGGGCCUCAGCUUCCUCAACUACAAAAUAGAAGCGACAACCCGACCCACACCUCGCAGGACAGCUGCAAGGGUGCAACAAUCAAAACAAUCGAUUUAAAACGCAGCAGAGUCGGAGCUCCCGUCAUGGCACAGCGGAAAUGAAUCCAACUAGGAACCACGAGGUUGCGGGUUCGAUCCCUGGCCUCGCUCAGUGGAUUCGGCGUUGCUGUGAGCUAGGGUGUAGGUUGUAGAUUUGGCUCGGAUCUGGUGUUGCUGUGCUGCCUGUGGUGUAGGCCAGCAGCUAUAACUCCAAUUGGACCACUAGCCUGGGAACCUCCAUGUGCCGUGGGUGCAGCAGCCCUAAAGAGACAAAAAAUAAAUCAAACACAGCAGAGUCCUUAAUCCAGAAUUAAGUCUCAAAGAAAUGUUGGCCACUGGUGUCGUUAAUGUUAAAAAACAAAACAAAACAAACUCGAGUGAGACUGUGCUUUCUUCUCGGAAACUGGGGGGGGGGGGGGGGCAAACCCGGACACCCUGGCUAGAAUCCUGAAAGCCGAGGGAAUCCAUCAUUACAGGCGACUGACCUCCUCAGCCCCUCGACGUGAUCGUCAACAGCUGCAGCCCCACCGCUGGAGCCGCCUCCAGCGCUGCGUGGAGGGAUGAGGUCACUGACGAUACCCUAGUAGGACAGGCCUCCUGCCAGGCUGUGGGCGGCGCCCGGGGCCCCCGGCUCUGCAGGGCUGGGCACGUCAGCAGAGCAGUGAAGGGUAGAGAGGAGCCGCUCCGAAGCAACAAGGACAAAGGGAGCAAAGAGGAAGCCCUGCGGCAGGAUUCCCCAGAAGUGUCCACUCAGGACGUGCGAUAGAUGCAACGUGCCAAGACGGACGGCAAGAGCAAGGCGGCACGUGGAGGGCCUCUUCGGGCCUUUGACAGAGGCAGUUGGCAGCGACCAGAGCUGACGCACAUGUCAAAAUGCUUGAGUUUGAAUCCUGGCUCCACCUCUUCCUAGCCCUGCGAUCUUGGAAAGGGGCUUAGGUUCUCUGGACCUUCCAGGGGUUUCUGCAAAUCUUACAUAAGCUAAGAGCUCAUAUGCGUGAACAACUUAUAGCUUGCACGGCGCACAAUAAGUGCCCAAUUAAUGCUAACAGAAUAGGCCAGAGAGAACACCAAAAAACAAAAAACCCAACACUUACCAACAAUGACACUUUUCACUCUGUUGAUACCCCAAAUGCACUCACACCACACCAGCCUCAUUUCAAACAUGUAACCUCACGGAAAACAACACAAAACUCUGGGCAGUUGCUUCCCAUUAGUCCACGGCUUCACAGGGAAGCUCGCCCUGCAGACUCCAGGCCGGCUUAUGACCAACCAGAGAAACAAGAAAGGGAAAAGAGGCGAACUGGCAGCCCCGCUUGAGUCCCACCUACAGGACUCAGGAGGUGCAAUUCGCAGUUUCGCUCGACUCCAAGGCAGGCAGAGGUGAAUCAGCUCCCCCAGGACCUCAGGAGAAACUCAGCCCCGACCUUGAAAAAAUGCAGACAGCACCGUGGCUGUCAAACCACAACCGACAGCCUUACCCUCCACGCUCGUGCCUCUAAAUACCUUCACUGCUCACUCGAUAAUUCUAACGCUGGCUUGGGGUGCCGCUCCUCUCAGCUAAAUUCUAAGAACCAAUUCAUGACAAUGACAGUAUAAUAAUUAUAAAGUCUGUUUAAACAGCACUGUUAGUCAUUCUCUCCCUCCAAAAUACAAUUAACUAAAUUAAUCUUACCAUCAAGCCUGGAAUUCUCGGCCUGAAUUCAGGGCGGGGUGGGGUGGGUGGGUUCAUAAACUUGGACUAGAAAAAAGAAUUACAGGAGUUCCCGUCAUGGGGCAGCAGAAACGAAUCCAACUAGGAACCAUGAGGUUGCAGGUUCAAUCCCUGGCCUCCCUCAGUGGGUUAAGGAUCCAGCAUCGCCAUGAGCUGUGGUGCAGGUCCAAGACGCGGCUGGGAUCUGGCGCGCUGUGGUGUAGGCCGGCAGCUGUAGCUCUGAUUAGACCCCUAGCCUGGGAACCUCCGUAUACCGCAGAUGCGGCCCUCAAAAGCCAAAAAAAAAAAAAGAAAGAAAAAGAAUCACAUCUGUAUUUCAUUAGCCCCUAACUGAAAUUUAACAUUUUUCUCAAUUAUGAAUGUAAGCAGCACACCAUGGUAGUAUCAGCAAUACCUGUGACUCCAACAAAAGCUAUAUUAACACAAGGUUAGAGUUGUCAGAAAGAGCUCCCAGCACUGCUUACCUUCAUCAGUACCUCAAAAUCGAAGUCUUCAUUAGACCACUCCCAAAUCUUGAUAUUUAAUGAUUUAGUACAGAAAUAUACCUUAGGAUAA